rnacentral:lncRNA from 1 species
ACUUUCUUUAGAAGGUCUCUUUUAGAUUUUUCUUUUUCAUCACACAGAGACGCUGCCAUGAAUGAAGAGUCUUUCUUCUUACAAUUGAAGACUUCAGCUUCAAAAAAAUGAGAUAAAUUCAUUUUCUCCUCUCUAAGCCACCAGAAGCAGUUCCUGGUCUCCUGACUCUACUGUGUCACUUCAGGGCUUUGGAACAUGCUUUCCCUCUGCUGGAAGACAUCUGCAGCCACCUCAUCUCCCUCUUCCUUCAGUGCUCUGAGGAACCGUGCGAAUAGUUGAGGCAAGAACAACAUUUGACGUUAUCCUUUUUGAACUGCUCCUGGCCUUAAACUGUCCCAAAAUGUCUCUUCUUUGGAUGGAAUCUCCUUGUUCUGCACUCAAAAUGAAACCUGAAAGAGACUACGAAACACACUCAAGCAACUCCAGAGCUCUUGAGACAAUUACGUGAUUGUGCUCUGCCUUCAACCUGGGCCUCCCCGGCUGCAAAACAAGGAAACAAAACCAAAAAUCACACAAAAAAGUCUUUAUUUUCAUCAUUUUUUUUGAAGGCUUCUUCUCACCUGAACGGUAUGAAUGGCCAAUUCCACAGUUACUUAAUAAAGUCAUAAUCAUAAUUAUUAAUAAUGUAAGGCCGGGCACGGUGCCUCACAUCUAUAAUCCCAGCAGUUUGGGAGGCUGAGGCGGGCAGAUCACCUGAGGUUGAAAGUUCAAGACCAGCCUGACCAACAUGGCAGAACUCCAUCUCUACUAAAAAUACAAAAUUAGCCGGGCAGGGUGGCGCAUGCCUGUAAUCCCAGCUACUCAGGAGGCUGAGGCAGGAGAAUUGCUUGAACCCAGGAGGUGGAGGUUACAGUGAGCUGAGAUCGCGC